rnacentral:rRNA from 1 species
UACUGGGCGUAACGCGCACGCAGGGCGGUUUGUUAAGUCAGAUGUGAAAUCCCCGGGCUCAACCUGGGAACUGCAUUUGAAACUGGCAAGCUAGAGUCUCGUAGAGGGGGGUAGAAUUCCAGGUGUAGCGGUGAAAUGCGUAGAGAUCUGGAGGAAUACCGGUGGCGAAGGCGGCCCCCUGGACGAAGACUGACGCUCAGGUGCGAAAGCGUGGGGAGCAAACAGGAUUAGAUACCCUGGUAGUCCACGCUGUAAACGAUGUCGAUUUGGAGGUUGUGCCCUUGAGGCGUGGCUUCCGGAGCUAACGCGUUAAAUCGACCGCCUGGGGAGUACGGCCGCAAGGUUAAAACUCAAAUGAAUUGACGGGGGCCCGCACAAGCGGUGGAGCAUGUGGUUUAAUUCGAUGCAACGCGAAGAACCUUACCUACUCUUGACAUCCAGAGAACUUUCCAGAGAUGGAUUGGUGCCUUCGGGAACUCUGAGACAGGUGCUGCAUGGCUGUCGUCAGCUCGUGUUGUGAAAUGUUGGGUUAAGUCCCGCAACGAGCGCAACCCUUAUCCUUUGUUUGCCAGCGGUUCGGCCGGGAAACUCAAAGGAGACUGCCAGUGAUAAACUGGAGGAAAGUUGGGGAUGACGUCAAGUCAUCAUGGGCCCUUACGAGUAGGGGCUACACACGUGCUAACAAUGGCAUAUACAAAGAGAAGCGACCUCGCGAGAGCCAAGCGGGACCUCAAUAAAAGUAUGGUCGUAGUCCGGGAUUGGAAGUCUGCAACUCGACUCCAUGAAGUCGGAAAUCGCUAGUAAUCGGUAGAUCAGAUGCUACGGUGAAUACGUUCCCGGGCCUUG